ensembl:lncRNA
UGUAACUGGUGUAACUGGUGUAACUGGUGUAUUUGGAGCCUCCUGUCGUCAUGAAAUUCCCUUUAUGUUUUUGAACAUGAUUCAUGGAGAACGCUGAGUUGUUAAUCAAUGCUUAAGUCACUAACCUACAGUCAACAAUGUCACCAAAUGUUUCCCCAAAAUAUUAUUUCUCUUAUCGACUCGAAACCAUUGAGAUGAUCUUUUUUUUAAACAGGCGAGCAGAUCCAACGUAUGUCAUCAGUGAGCUGGUGAAAAGAUACCAGGACAAGAACAUCAAGCUGAAUUUCAUAUACGACACCGUGUGUGUGCCGUCCUCACAUAUAGAUGUGAGUAUUUUCUUUUACUAUAUGACACAAGAACAACGUUUCCUGUUUAUAAAACACUGUUUGGUGUUUAUCAGACAAAUGGAGGAGGAACACCUCGAGGUAUUUCCCUGGCUGUCCAUGUUUAUGGACAUAAACUGCAGUGCCAGCUAUGAUUUAUUGGUCAAUGUACACAAACUGGCACACAUGUCAUCCUAAGCACAUGCACACACUAUUCAGUCCAUACUUUGAUAAACUCUUGUACAGUAAACAGUAAAUAUGUGUUAAUCAGAAAUCUUUUAGAGCACACGACGGCUUCCUGGGUUUGGGCUGAACGAUGGAGAAGGCAUGGAGAGGUUCUGCUCCUUCCUCAGAAGAUCUGCAGGAGUCACAAAGAGAUGACUCUAUCAGAUCGACUGGAAAUUCUGAUUGAUGCAUUAUUGCAUUAUGGGAGGAGGAAGUCAUCGGAUCUAGUGACUAUUUCAGAACAAGACAUCCAACAGUGGAUGGAAAGAGAGACAGAAGCUGACAAACAUGCACUUUUGAAAACGAGACCCAAAGGUUUGUUGAUUUUGCCUAAUUUGUUUCUUAUUAGGUACUCAGGAAGCUGAUAGUGGCUACUUCCUGUCUUUAGAUUCUGUUCCCAGAUGGAAGAGGAAGUAUGUCAUGAAACUGGUCGGGCAUUGCACAGCUACAAGCAUUUCACCUCAUGUCAUACUGUGUAUGGUUUUGUGUGUGUGAUAAAUACAAUUUGAACUUGAAUUUGAAACUGGUUCAAUUCAACCAGCUCAGGUAGGAUUGAAUUAAACUAUAUUUAGUGUUUUGUUGAUAUUCCAAUCGUAAGAGUUCAAAUGUUAGCAAACAUAAAGGUUAACAGUUGUGCUUAGUUAUGUCGACUAUAUGAUGGGAAAACCUUGCUGUCAGUUUUACAUGUGCGUUUUUAAAUGUAGAUCCCUGAAUCACGAGACACCCACUGCAGACCAAACACAGGAAGUUAACGUGUUAAUGUUACCAUUUCCAAUUACGGUGCCAUUCAUCUAAUCUGGAAAUGUUUGUUUUGGGGCGGUGUUGAUCUUCCUAUUGUGUUUAGGCCAGAGAGUGCUCUUCAAACUACUGACAGACACGCCCACAUUACAAGCAGAUGGUGUGAGUCUGAUUUGAUUUUCCAGUCAACGCUGAGAGACUGCGAGCAAGAAAUGAAGCAAGGAAGAAGGAUCGCUCUACUCAAUCUCAAGCACUUUUUCAUUGUCACAGAGGGAAACAUUGUAUUUUCUGCGUCACUUCCUCACAGAAAAGAUAUUUGUACCCAUUCUGCAGGUAAACUGUUGAUGGGACAAUAAACAAAUUUCACUUUGCAAAAUGUUCUGCAGGGAGGUUGUGGUUGCUUCUUUCGACUACCAUGACCUGGAUGACUGAGAACCUACGCAGACACGUUCUCAGGGAAGGGCUCCACACUUAUUGUACUGAUUUAACUGAGCUUAUUGUCAUCAAGCAAAGUUUGCUUUAAUGUGUCUCUAUUGACAACACAAAGAAUUUUUGUCACUAGUUAUAAAAUGUAGAAAUCUUCAAAUAUAUCUGAAGUGCUUGGUGUAAAUUCAAUGAUUCAAGAUCCAGUUGGUUGUCAUCUUCACUGAAAAAUAAAUAUGAAUAAAAUAUUAUAAUAUAUAAUAAAUAAUAUCAUGUGAUGUUGACAUGUGUUGUUGGUAUUUUCUGUAAAUGUCUUUUUGAAUGUAAAUGCUUUGUUUGAGACAGACAGGGAGUCGCUAUAAAGCUGUCCAAGCAAAUCCACGUCUGUAACAGAGACUGAAGAAGAUUGUAACAGAGUCCAACAGUCUGCAGUGGCCACCACAGUCCACCGUCUUCACAUCACAAUUUCAACAUGUCUGUGAAGUCUCCUUGCCCUUGGGCUCAUGCCUCGAUGAACAAGUAGGUAGAGUUCAAAUGUGGGUUUUCAGUGAAUGUAUAAGUGCAAUUUACUGUUACUGCUGCUGUUUGUGUUUUGUCAGGUUUGUUUCAUUAACAUUUCUCAGACAGAAGAAGGUGAUAUUCCAACAGAGCUGAAAAGGAGAGCCGUCGAUUCCUUACAUUUGAAGAGCAGAGCAGCUGAAGAGAAGCUGUGACUCCAACGUGAGAUGGACCCUGUGAUUCAUCACCUCCACCAGCAACACACUGACCUGCAUUCAUCCAUAGAUGCCACUCAGGACCCUGGUUCCACAGCUGUUCUUGUUCACAGCUGCGUCCAGUUAGAGAGGAAACUGUAUAAUGCAAUGAUGAUGUUCCAGCGUCAUGUUAUUGCUCCUCCUCCACAUGCUUACCUGCCACAGUUUAACUCCGCCUCUCAGACAGUCAUGUCACCUGAUCUGCACGUUUUGCUGUACGAUGACGUCAUCUUGACGUUGACGAGGAGAAAAACUAGUUUUGUCCUGCAGAUGGCGAUCUUGCACCUUGUUCAGAGAG